rnacentral:rRNA from 1 species
GCGUGGGGAGCAAACAGGAUUAGAUACCUGGUAGUCCACGCUGUAAACGAUGUCGAUUUGGAGGUUGUUCCCUGAGGAGUGGCUUCCGGAGCUAACGCGUUAAAUCGACCGCCUGGGGAGUACGGCCGCAAGGUUAAAACUCAAAUGAAUUGACGGGGGCCCGCACAAGCGGUGGAGCAUGUGGUUUAAUUCGAUGCAACGCGAAGAACCUUACCUACUCUUGACAUCCAGAGAAUUUAGCAGAGAUGCUUUAGUGCCUUCGGGAACUCUGAGACAGGUGCUGCAUGGCUGUCGUCAGCUCGUGUUGUGAAAUGUUGGGUUAAGUCCCGCAACGAGCGCAACCCUUAUCCUUUGUUGCCAGCACAUUAUGGUGGGAACUCAAAGGAGACUGCCGGUGAUAAACCGGAGGAAGGUGGGGAUGACGUCAAGUCAUCAUGGCCCUUACGAGUAGGGCUACACACGUGCUACAAUGGCGUAUACAAAGAGAAGCGACCUCGCGAGAGCAAGCGGAACUCAUAAAGUACGUCGUAGUCCGGAUUGGAGUCUGCAACUCGACUCCAUGAAGUCGGAAUCGCUAGUAAUCGUAGAUCAGAAUGCUACGGUGAAUACGUUCCCGGGCCUUGUACACACCGCCCGUCACACCAUGGGAGUGGGUUGCAAAAGAAGUAGGUAGCUUAACCUUCGGGAGGGCGCUUACCACUUUGUGAUUCAUGACUGGGGUGAAGUCGUAACAAGGUAACCA